rnacentral:rRNA from 1 species
GUGGGGAAUUUUGCGCAAUGGGGGAAACCCUGACGCAGCGACGCCGCGUGGGCGAUGAAGGCCUUCGGGUCGUAAAGCCCUGUCGAGCGGGACGAAACGCGUGAGCUCUAAUACAGCUUGCGCUUGACGGUACCGCGAGAGGAAGCCCCGGCUAACUCCGUGCCAGCAGCCGCGGUAAUACGGAGGGGGCUAGCGUUAUUCGGAAUCAUUGGGCGUAAAGGGCGUGUAGGCGGCUUCGCGUGUCCCAUGUGAAAGCCCUCGGCUCAACCGGGGAACUGCAUGGGAAACUGCGAAGCUUGAGUCCGGGAGAGGAGAGUGGAAUUCCCAGUGUAGCGGUGAAAUGCGUAGAUAUUGGGAGGAACACCGGUGGCGAAGGCGGCUCUCUGGACCGGUACUGACGCUGAGACGCGAAAGCCAGGGGAGCAAACGGGAUUAGAAACCCCUGUAGUCC